rnacentral:rRNA from 1 species
CCUACGGGCGGCUGCAGUGGGGAAUAUUGGACAAUGGGCGAAAGCCUGAUCCAGCCAUGCCGCGUGUCUGAAGAAGGCCUUCGGGUUGUAAAGCACUUUCAGUGGGGAAGAAAGCCUUGGGGCUAAUACCCUCGAGGAAGGACAUCACCCACAGAAGAAGCACCGGCUAACUCCGUGCCAGCAGCCGCGGUAAUACGGAGGGUGCGAGCGUUAAUCGGAAUUACUGGGCGUAAAGCGCGCGUAGGCGGUCUGAUAAGCCGGUUGUGAAAGCCCCGGGCUCAACCUGGGAACGGCAUCCGGAACUGUCAGGCUAGAGUGCAGGAGAGGAAGGUAGAAUUCCCGGUGUAGCGGUGAAAUGCGUAGAGAUCGGGAGGAAUACCAGUGGCGAAGGCGGCCUUCUGGACUGACACUGACGCUGAGGUGCGAGAGCGUGGGUAGCAAACAGGAUUAGAUACCCCAGUAGUC